CUUUUACUCCCUCUGUCCAACAAAAGAUGUCUCAAGUUUGUCAAAAUUUGGAUGUAUCUAGACAUGACUUAGUGUAUAGAUGAAUUUAAAUUUAGUCAAAGUUGAGACAUCCUUUGUUGGACGGAGGGAGUAUGAU
rfam:Brachypodium distachyon strain Bd21 chromosome 2, whole genome shotgun sequence.